GCCCCCGUAGUUCAAUGGAUAGAACUCCGCACUCCUAACGCGGUAAUCCAGGUUCGACUCCUGGCGAGGGCA
rnacentral:tRNA from 1 species